rnacentral:lncRNA from 1 species
AUGAUCGAUUUUUUUGUUUUUUUGUUUUUUUUUGUAACCCAUGAUAGAUUUUUUUGUAAUCCAUGAUCGAAUGUUUUGUAAUCCAUGAUCAAAAUGUUUGUUUUUUUUUUGUAAUCCAUGAUCGAAAUGUUUGUUUUUUUUUCUGUAAUCCAUGAUCGAAUUUUUUGUUUUUUGCUUUUUUUGUAACCCAUGAUAGAGUUUUUUAUAAUCCAUGAUUGAAUUUUUUGUAAUCCAUGAUCGAAUUGUUUUUUUCUUUUUUUGUAAUCCACGAUUGAAUUUUUUGUUUUUUGUUUGUUUGUUUUUUUUUGUAAUCCAUGAUCGAAUUU